rnacentral:rRNA from 1 species
GCCAGACUCCUACGGGAGGCAGCAGUGGGGAAUAUUGCACAAUGGGGGAAACCCUGAUGCAGCGACGCCGCGUGAGUGAAGAAGUAUUUCGGUAUGUAAAGCUCUAUCAGCAGGGAAGAAAAUGACGGUACCUGAUUAAGAAGCCCCGGCUAACUACGUGCCAGCAGCCGCGGUAAUACGUAGGGGGCAAGCGUUAUCCGGAUUUACUGGGUGUAAAGGGAGCGUAGACGGUGAUGCAAGUCAGAAGUGAAAGCCCGGGGCUCAACUCCGGGACUGCUUUUGAAACUGUGUGACUGGGGUGCAGGAGAGGUAAGCGGAAUUCCUGGUGUAGCGGUGAAAUGCGUAGAUAUCAGGAGGAACACCAGUGGCGAAGGCGGCUUACUGGACUGUAACUGACGUUGAGGCUCGAAAGCGUGGGGAGCAAACAGGAUUAGAUACCCCUGUA